AAAGCCAUUUUAACGUACUAAAACAUUUUACCAUCCUAGUAUAGGCGAUAGAAAAGACCUUCAGAGCAAUACAGAAAGUACCGCAAGGGAAAGCUGAAAAAGAAGUGAAACAACCCAAGGAAGCCAGAAAAAGCAGAGAUUCAACCUCGUACCUUUUGCAUCAUGAUCUAGCAAGAAAGCCCAAGCGAAGAGAGCUUAAGUUUGACCCCCCGAAACCUGGGGAGCUACUUCGGAGCAGCCCAAAGGGGCAAACCCGUCUCUGUGGCAAAAGAGUGGGGAGACUCCCGAGUAGAGGUGACAAGCCUACCGAACCUGGUGAUAGCUGGUUGCCCGGAAAAUGAAUGUAAGUUCAGCGUUAUAAAAUUCUGACAUUGUAAAUGAAAAAAGAAGUAAGAUAUAACAGUUAGUCAAAAGCGGUACAGCUCUUUUGAAAAAGGAUACAACCUUAUUAGGCGGAAAAGGAUUAAAAACUUAAGGCACCUCCCCCAGUGGGCCUAAAAGCAGCCACCUGG
rnacentral:rRNA from 1 species